rnacentral:lncRNA from 1 species
CACAUCUUUUUUAUAUAGAUGGGUUUUGUUCUAUUCUUACAUGUCUAAAUUUUAAGUCUGCAUGCUUAACCAAAAAUGUUAUAACUGGAAUCCUAGCAAAAUAAACUGCAUUCACAUUCGAAUACUCCAGGUUUACAACAAGAAAACUUUGUUUGCAUAUACAUGUAAUUAUAUAAAUCCCCUACUUUCAUGAAAUUUUAUAAUGACCUUUUCUCCCAGAAACCUCAAUGGUCUGAACCCUAUGCGGAUGACAUAUUUCUCUGGUCCACAAAUUUUCAAAUCUAUUACAUGAUAAAAGUACCAUGAGCUAUGCCUUUAGUUACAUUCAUAAUUAAUUUUCAGCCUGAAAAAGGGGGGGGGGUGUCAUUGUUUUGUUCUUGGACACGGAUAUUGUUUUGAAAUUUAUUUACGCUUAAAGGUUAUUUUUCAGUGGUCGUGAAUUGCUCUUUGAACUUGUAUAUUCAAUUCAUUAGUGCUUACUUGUCAGUUUAAAUUUCCCCCUUUUCAUGAAUUGUUUACAUCAUCUUUCGCCAGUUUGUCGGACCUUCUCUAGUGUAAGACAAGGGUGAAACUGCUUCAUAAGCUACCAAAAUGAAGAUCGUUAUCUAUAAUUUCGAUCUGCAUUACAGUAUUCAUGAAAAGCAGUCCACUUUUGAUAAAUGUGAGUUAUUCUCUUUUCAUUCUUCUCCUUCGUCAAAAACAUGCUUCAUAUUUAUUUUUAGAACGGAAGUACUAUUUCAACAAUGACAAUUGUAAGAAUAAAUUUUAUUAAGUUUUAAAAUUGCAUUUAAAAGUUAUUCAACUCUUUCUCAAUGCAUUUGAAUAAAACAGAUUAUUAAAAUGAUCAUAUUUUACUGUUAUGGAAAAUUACGACAAUGUACAUCACUUACGAUAUCAAUGCGCAACUUUAUGCGCAGACGGCGCGAAAAUUUAAACCCCCGAACUACCUUAAU